rnacentral:rRNA from 1 species
ACGUGAGCAACCUGCCCUUGAGUAUGGAAUAGCUCGCCGAAAGGCGAAUUAAUACUGUAUGUGACCCUCCAUCGCAUGAUGGAGUGGUUAAAGCUUGUAAUGGCGCUCAAGGAUGGGCUCGCGGCCUAUCAGCUUGUUGGUGAGGUAAAGGCUCACCAAGGCUAAGACGGGUAGCUGGUCUGAGAGGAUGAUCAGCCACACCGGGACUGAGACACGGCCCGGACACCUACGGGUGGCAGCAGUUUCGAAUCAUUCACAAUGGGCGAAAGCCUGAUGAUGCAAUGCCGCGUGGAGGAUGAA